CUAUACUGCAUCUGUCAGAAUAUUGUGCAUAAAGUUGUCAUGUUUCCUCUUUCUCCCAGAGGAAGAGAGAGAGAGAGGGCGAAAGAGAGACAGAGAGAUUUAUGAAAGAGAUUUUCUGUUUAUAAUUGGAUUUCAUUAUGUAAUAGGAAGACCAUCUCCUGGAGCAAGGAAGUGACACGUCUGGCUAAACAAAAUGUUGACCAGAAAUACAGGACAUCUGAACUCACCUUUGUUUUUGAUGGCACAUAGAGAGGAAAGAAGACAUAGAAAGGAUUAUCUAGUUUUUCUGAAUCUUUCCUUUUCAUAGUACUUUUCAGAUAAUGGACCAUCACAGCAUAAAAUGACUUAAGACUAGAAAUUAAAGGAACUACAGUAAGAGUGGUACACAAAGACUGGUUUGCAAGCACUGACUUGGAUAUAUGGUACCCAGACUACCUGUUUCCAAUUAUGGGAUUUGUAGUUCGACAAGAUGACAUUGCUG